CCUACGGGAGGCUGCAGUGGGGAAUAUUGGACAAUGGGGGGAACCCUGAUCCAGCCAUGCCGCGUGUGUGAAGAAGGCCCUCGGGUUGUAAAGCACUUUCAGUGAGGAAGAACGCCUGGUGGUUAAUACCCAUCAGGAAAGACAUCACUCACAGAAGAAGCACCGGCUAACUCCGUGCCAGCAGCCGCGGUAAUACGGAGGGUGCGAGCGUUAAUCGGAAUUACUGGGCGUAAAGCGCGCGUAGGUGGCUUGAUAAGCCGGUUGUGAAAGCCCCGGGCUCAACCUGGGAACGGCAUCCGGAACUGUCAAGCUAGAGGGCAGGAGAGGAAGGUAGAAUUCACGGUGUAGCGGUGAAAUGCGUAGAGAUCGGGAGGAAUACCAGUGGCGAAGGCGGCCUUCUGGACUGACACUGACACUGAGGUGCGAAAGCGUGGGUAGCAAACAGGAUUAGAUACCCUAGUAGUC
rnacentral:rRNA from 1 species